UAACCUGCCCAANAGAUCGGGAUAACACCUGGAAACAGAUGCUAAUACCGGAUAACAACAGAUGAUGCCUAUCAACUGUUUAAAAGAUGGUUCUGCUAUCACUCUUGGAUGGACCUGCGGUGCAUUAGCUAGUUGGUAGGGUAACGGCCUACCAAGGCGAUGAUGCAUAGCCGAGUUGAGAGACUGAUCGGCCACAUUGGGACUGAGACACGGCCCAAACUCCUACGGGAGGCAGCAGC
rnacentral:rRNA from 1 species